rnacentral:lncRNA from 1 species
UCUCCCCCAACUGCUGGCGAGGAACUCAGGCCAGAAAUCCAUAAUCUCAUUCUCCAAAGGGUAAGACCUUUUCGUUUUUGUUGUUUUUCUCUCCUCUCGUUCUGAUUUGAUCAGGCUCUCAGGCUGGUGUUUCUUAUACGUAACUCAAUUGAAUGGCACUUUUAUCAUCAUGAUUGUUUGUGUCCCUCUUUUAUAGUUUGAAUGUGAGCUGGGGGGGAGGAGAAUAAAGAAACCCUAAAGAAAAGGGGGGAGAAGGGAGGAGAAGGAGGGCUCUGAGUCGAAAUUCCAAACGGAGGAAUUACGGAGGAAGAAAACAAAUGAUCACCGGUGGCUAUUGUCAGUGGGGGGAAAACAAUACCAGUGGUGGGAAGAAGAAACGGACAACGUUCUCUCGUAAAAUAUUCAUAAUGGGGCCUGGAUUAUUCUUAUCUACACUAAUUUAUCUCCGAUUUUUUGUGUAAAAUUUUUUAUAUCCCAAAUUGGUUGUAAAUGAUUUAUAUGUGAUGCUGCAGAUUGCGGAUCGGUAUUGCAGAUUGGUAUUGCGAUGAAGAUCUCCUCCCCCUCUCUUAUAGAGGUAUAUGUUCGAUCGUUUUGCUCUUGAAUUUCUAGACGCUUAGAGACGCAUGUAUCUCGUGUAGUUGGCACCACUGCCACGAAUGUUUGGAAUGGUACACUUGCUUGCAGGUAGUGCGGAAGGUUAACGAAACUGUUCAUAUUGUGGCAAGACUCUUACAUAUCAUCAUCUUGAGUCAUAUCGAGAUUGAUCUAAUGACUUGAAUAGAUGGUUAGAUUCAUUCAUUUUUACUUGUUAUCUCAAUUUUUUCUACCGAUCAGGAACUAUUAUGUAGAUAAAAUAUAGUAGAAUGAUCUAGUAUAUGAUAUAUCAUCCACAAUUUAAGCCAUCCACCGUGUUUCAAACGGGUACCUAAGAAACUUUAACAAUUCUACUUAUAUUGAUUUUAGACUUACCUUAAAUGUGUAUUUAAUAUGUAUACAAGUUAAGUGUCCGAUUUUCUGGAGAAAUUUGUUUCUAUCACUUCGACUCACCGUCUGCUAGACUCUUUUAUCACCUUUCGAUCGGCAUUUUUUCACUUAAGACCCAUCUCACUACCAACCGAACGGAACCUUGUGAUAUAUUUGAAAUUUUAAAAAAGUUGAAGAUGGAUUUGAGUAUAUUGUCAACUAAUUGAGGCCUGAUUUGUGAAUUAUCCUAAAACACUUUUGAACAGGUCCACUCUUUGUUGGACACGUGGAAAGAAGACUUGAUGACGACAACAAUUAAAGGUGGUCUUCUUGGAGUCUUUCCUUGGUGUUCUCCGAUGGCGUAGGAGUGGUUAGUGGUAUCACCCUACUAGUGUAUUGUCAACAAACUCCUUGGACCAAAUAACAUAGUGCUCACUCAAGUUUGGAUAUUGUACCGAUGUAAUCUAUAAAGUUAAAAGAGAUGAUUUAGUUUAUCCGGUAUUCUACAACUUGUUCUGUUACGUACACUUUCCCGUUAAAUAUGUCAUAUUAAUGUGUAAUGUCUUUGAAGCUGAAUUGUGUGCG